GUUUCUUCUUCCGAUGGUUGGAGGAGGACCCCGAGGGUCACGCGUCACAAAUGCAUUAUUACUGCAUCUACAAAGUUCAACACCACUUCCUUCUGCCCCCCAUGGUUUCACGUGAGAAAUCUGCUGUCACCGUGCUGGUGUUCCCAUGCAGAAUUGGUCAUUGCUCGUGAAAUCACUUUUAUGAUGCUGACUUCAAAAAUCUUUGUUAGAUAAAUCCA